CAGGGCACAUUUAUAAGCAAAGCAGUGGACAAACUAUGUUUGCUGGGUCCCUGGCGAGUGGGGUUACUCAGCUCCUGUGCGAAUGGCGAGGGACUUCCUGAACUACUCCGUCAGGCCACUGCCCUCGUCUCUUUCAAAGGCCUCCUCAAGACCACUUCUGCCAGGGCACCUGCACAGGUUCAGCCAGUGAGAUGGGGCUGAGAUGCUGUGGGCAGUGCCAUUCUGGGCAGAUUGCAUGAGGGCAAGAUCAGUGAUGGACAAACCUCAUGGGGCCUGCACACUUAUCUUCAAAGGAGGGGCUGGCCAGGAAGAGGAGCUUGUUAGAGUGGGGUCAGAGAGAGGGAGUGCAGGGCACCAACAUCCUAAGGGCAAUCAAUCUCAUGGGCCGUGUGCUUGGGGGCUCUCCUGACUGAUGGUUUCCUAUGCUGUCCUAUGGAAAGAGAUCUGAAGGUGGGUAUCUUAUGCAGCACUCCCUGCUCGUAUGCUGCUGCAGAACCCCACAGCUGCCAAGGCUGUGGUGUCCCCUACUGACUGGUGCCCACUGACGCACUUGUCAGAGUUUACAAAGCGGCAUUCUUUUGUUUAAAACUUUGAAAGAAGCUUUUCUGAAGAAAGCACAGAUUGAAAGCAGGCGCCAGUGCCAAGAACAACAUAAAUAUCACCUGUGAACAUAAGA